CAGUGAUCACUUUAACGGCCGCGGUACCCUGACCGUGCAAAGGUAGCAUAAUCAUUUGCCUUUUAAUUGGAGGCUAGUAUGAAUGGUCUGACGAGAGUAAAACUGUCUCAUAUAUAUUCAAUAGAAAUUAACUUAAAGGUGCAAAGGCCUUUAUUUACUAAAAAGACGAGAAGACCCUGUUGAGCUUUAAUCUUAAUGAACAUUUUUUCUAUAUUAAUAAAUUUAUUUUGCUCACUAAAGAUUUUAAUUGGGGCGAUUAAGGAACAACUAUUAGCUUCCUGAUCGUCAGUUAAAUCGAUCCAGCAGUGCUGAUCAACAAAAUGAGUUACCACAGGGAUAACAGCAUAAUUCUUCUUGAGAGCCCAUAUCGAAAGAAGAGAUUGUGACCUCGAUGUUGGACUAGGGUAACUAGAAGGUGUAGCCGCUUUCUUGUUUGGUCUGUUCGACCAGUAAUUCCCU
rnacentral:rRNA from 1 species